GAAAUGCGCAUCUGGUGCAAGAAAAUUGGUACCGUUAAUUUUAUUAUAGCAUCUCCUUUAUUUUCAGCCACGUCAUAGAUGUUUAAUGAUUGACCUUGAAGUAAACAGGUAAAGAGAUAUUCAAGAUUCGCAUUGUCUAUUUCUGGAUGCCCUAUUGUAACUUUUCCAAGAUGCGUAAGGUUUGCAUAUAGUUUUCUAUUUUGAUACUAGUACUGGUUAAAGAC
rnacentral:lncRNA from 1 species